rnacentral:rRNA from 1 species
GACGAACGCUGGCGGCGUGCUUAACACAUGCAAGUCGAACGGAAAGGCCUGCUUUCCCUUGUGGAUUGCGGGUACUCGAGUGGCGAACGGGUGAGUAACACGUGAGUGAUCUGCCCCCAACUUGGGUAUAAGCCUGGGAAACUGGGUCUAAUUCCCGAUAGGACUGCAGGGUGGUGCCUGUGGUGGAAAACGAUUUUCUAGUGGUUGGGGAUGAGCUCGCGGCCUAUCAGCUUGUUGGUGGGGUAAUGGCCUACCAAGGCGGCGACGGGUAGCCGGCCUGGGAGGGGGGACGGCCACAUUGGGACUGAGAUACGGCCCAGACUCCGACGGGAGGCAGCAGUGGGGAAGAUUGCACAAUGGGCGGAAGCCUGAUGCAGCGACGCCGCGUGGGGGAUGACGGCCUUCGGGUUGUAAACUCCUUUCGACCGCGAGGAAGCCACCUGGUUGGAAGGGUGGUGACGGUAGUGGUAGAAGAAGCACCGGCUAACUACGUG